AAUCAACGCUGGCGGCGUGCCUAACACAUGCAAGUCGAACGAGAAAGUGGAGCAAUCCAUGAGUAAAGUGGCGACCGGGUGAGUAACACGUGACUAACCUGCCCUAGAGUGGGGGAUAACCUCGGGAAACCGGGGCUAAUACCGCAUAACAUCACGAGGGGAAGAUCCUUGUGAUCAAAGGAGCAAUCCGCUCCAGGAGGGGGUCGCGGCUGAUUAGCCAGUUGGCGGGGUAACGGCCCACCAAAGCCAAGAUCAGUAGCCGGCCUGAGAGGGCGCACGGCCACACUGGAACUGAAACACGGUCCAGACUCCUACGGGAGGCAGCAGUGGGGAAUUUUGCGCAAUGGGGGAAACCCUGACGCAGCAACGCCGCGUGGAGGAUGAAGUCCCUUGGGAUGUAAACUCCUUUCGAUCGGGACGAUAAUGACGGUACCGGAAGAAGAAGCACCGGCUAACUCUGUGCCAGCCGCCGCCGUAAGAC
rnacentral:rRNA from 1 species